ensembl:lncRNA
CAGCCAGACCCCCAGGCAGCAGGCAGCAGCACAAGGGGAGCGGGCACUCAGCAGGCCCGGCUCCCCUGGCCUGGGCAGGGAGGCAGGGAGCGGGCGGGAGAGACCGAUGUCCCAGCAGGGCCCAGCACUGCAGGGGGUGCCCAUGAAGCGCAGCCUCCCCAGCACAGCUCUGCCACUGCGAGACGAGAGCGGCAAGGAUGUGAGCGUUGUGCCCAAGAGUGAAGGCCCAGCCCAGCUGAAGGUAAGGAGCCAGGGAGGCCACUGCACAGCCCAGGACGCAGGUGAGAAGGCCGGGAGCCGCCUCCCUGAGCCGACCAUCUCCCGCAAGAGCUACCCUGGCAGGCAGAGGCCCAGGCAGCAGCCGUCAGCACAGCGGGGCCGCGCCCUCAGCCUGCCCGUGUCAGCUUCCCUGGGCAGCCAGGCAGGGCCACAGCAGCAGAGGCAAGCGGCAGAGCAGGAGCCGGCAGUGCAGGGGGUGCGCAAGAAGCACAGCGUGAGCAGCACAGCUGUGCCCGGCCAAGAGAGACCCAGGAAGCGUGGCAGUGUCCUUGCCCAGAGCGAGCGCUCCCAGAAGCUGAAGACAUGGAGGCUGGUGUGCCACUGCAUGGCCCAGGACGCGGCUGUGAAGCCCAGGGGCCUGGUCACGGUGCGAGUCGUCUCCCCCGAGAUCUCGCCGGGGAGCCGCCGGCCCAGCCAGCAGCCCGACCCACAAUGUUGCCGGGCACGCAGCCUGCCCGUGGCAGCUUCCCUGGGCAGGGAGGCAGGGCCAGAGCCCAGGAGAAGAGCGUCAGAGCCAGGCCCAGCACUGCCCAGGCUCCACAGGAGACGCACCCUCAGCAGCCCGGCUGUGCCGCUGCAACAGCAACCCGGCAAGGAUGGGAGCCUUGUGCCCCACACUGAGCCUGGGCAGCAGCGGCAGGAGAGGCCGCGCGCCAGCGCCGAGGGCAGAGCGCUUCCACUGUGCAAAGCCACUCUGCAGCUUCUGGGGGAAAUCUCCAGCCAUCAGAAGGUGCUGGAGUGGCUGCAAGCAACUUUCCCCGACACCGGUGGGGCCUCGGCCGAGCAACAGGAAGAGCAGCAAGGUGAUAGACAGCAAGAGCUCUGCCAAGGGGAAGGUGUCACUGAGCCAAGGCUGUGCCAAGAGGAAAAGAAGGCAGAGCAAGAGCUGUCCGAAAGGGAAGACGGUAAGGACCAAGAGCUUUCCAAAGGGGAGGAUGAGAUGGAACAAGAGCUGUCCCAAGUGGAAGCCAGCAAUAGCAGAGCCGUGGUGCAAGGAGAAGAUGAGAAGGAGGAAGACGUGUGCCAGGGGGAAGAGGAGAAGAAAGAAGAGCCGUGCCAAGGGAAAGUCAGCGGUGAUAAGAGUGUGCAGGGGAAGAGGAGAAGAAAGAAGAGCCGUGCCAAGGGAAAGUCAGCGGUGAUGAAGAGCUGUGGCAAGGAGAAGAGGAGAAGAAGGAGGAGGUGCGUGAAGAGGACGAUGGCAAGAAGGAAGAGCAGUCUGAAGGGGAGGAGGACAUCAGCUGCAACAUCGGGGACAAGCCCUUAGGCCCGGUGAACGAGGGGCUCCCUGGCACUUCUCCCCAGCAGCUGCCCAGCUGCCCCAGCACUGUGGGCACAGAGGCAGCAGCACAGGCAGCUGGUGACCUGCCCAGCACGUCUCCUGCCCACGCUGGUGCCACGGCCUCUGAGGCAGCAGGUGCUGAGCUGGCCAGAGCUGCUGGGAAAGAGGAGCAGCGUGCAGCUCUUGCUGCCCAGGCCCAAGAGGCGUCAACGGCAGCAGCUUCUCCUGCGUGUGGCGAGCAGCUGAGAGCUGCAGGCCAAGAGAGCCAGGCAGCUGCCCCAGCCAGCCCCUGCUGCUCAUCCAAGAAGUUUCCCAAGUAGAGGACAAGACCAAGGAAGAAAUGCCCCAAGUGGAGGAGAGGACAGAGGAAGAAGUGCCCCAAGUGGAGGACAGGACAGAGCUGGAAGGGUCCCCAGUGGAAGAUGGCAGAGCCCCAAGGUUGAGUAGUCCUGCAGAGAGGCUCCCUGUGCCUGCCCCUGAGCAGAGCCCGGCAUUUGGCCAGCACAGCCAGGUGCCAGGGCAGGCCUUGGCCAGGUCGAUGGAAGGCCGUGGCCUCAGCGAGCAGGGGGCUGUCCCCCAGCCAGG